AACGAACGCUGGCGGCAUGCCUAACACAUGCAAGUCGAACGAGACCUUCGGGUCUAGUGGCGCACGGGUGCGUAACGCGUCGGAACCUUCCCUUAGGUUCGGAAUAACUCCCCGAAAGGGGUGCUAAUACCGGAUAAUUUCUUCGGACCAAAGAUUUAUCUCCUUUGGAUGGGCCCGCGUUGGAUUAGCUAGUUGGUAGGGUAAAAGCCUACCAAGGCGAAGAUCCAUAGCUGGUCUGAGAGGAUGAUCAGCCACACUGGGACUGAGACACGGUCCAGACUCCUACGGGAGGCAGAAGUGGGGAAUAUUGGACAAUGGGCGAAAGACUGAUCCAGCAAUGCCGCGUGAGUGAUGAAGGACUUAGGGUUGUAAAGCUCUUUUAACAGGGAUGAUAAUGACAGUACCGGGAGAAUAAGCGCCGGCUAACUCCGUG
rnacentral:rRNA from 1 species